rnacentral:rRNA from 1 species
UACAGAGGUCUCAAGCGUUGUUCGGAUUCAUUGGGCGUAAAGGGUGCGUAGGCGGCGCGGUAAGUCGGGUGUGAAAUCUCGGGGCUUAACUCCGAAACUGCAUUCGAUACUGCCGUGCUUGAGGACUGGAGAGGAGACUGGAAUUUACGGUGUAGCGGUGAAAUACGUAGAUAUCGUAAGGAAGACCAGUGGCGAAGGCGGGUCUCUGGACAGUUCCUGACGCUGAGGCACGAAGGUCAGGGGAGCAAACAGG